UACGAAGGGGGCUAGCGUUGCUCGGAACCACUGGGCGUAAAGCGCACGUAGGCGGACUCUUAAGUCGGUGGUGAAAUCCUGGAGCUCAACUCCAGAACUGCCUUCGAUACUGAGAGUCUUGAGUCCGGGAGAGGUGAGUGGAACUGCGAGUGUAGAGGUGAAAUUCGUAGAUAUUCGCAAGAACACCAGUGGCGAAGGCGGCUCACUGGCCCGGUACUGACGCUGAGGUGCGAAAGCGUGGGGAGCAAACAGG
rnacentral:rRNA from 1 species